rnacentral:rRNA from 1 species
UACGUAGGGUGCGAGCGUUAAUCGGAAUUACUGGGCGUAAAGGGCGCGUAGGCGGCCUUCUAAGUCGAACGUGAAAUCCCUGGGCUCAACCCAGGAACUGCGUCCGAUACUGGAAGGCUUGAAUCCGGGAGAGGGGUGCGGAAUUCCAGGUGUAGCGGUGAAAUGCGUAGAUAUCUGGAGGAACACCGGUGGCGAAGGCGGCAUCCUGGACCGGUAUUGACGCUGAGGCGCGAAAGCCAGGGGAGCAAACGGG